GAUGAAGAACGCAGCGAAAUGCGAUAAGUAAUGUGAAUUGCAGAAUUCAGUGAAUCAUCGAAUCUUUGAACGCACAUUGCGCCCGCCAGUAUUCUGGCGGGCAUGCCUGUUCGAGCGUCAUUUCAACCAUCAAGCCCCCGGCUUGUGUUGGGGAUCUGCGGCUGCCGCAGGCCCUGAAAAGCAGUGGCGGGCUCGCUGUCACACCGAGCGUAGUAGAUUUCAUCUCGCUCAGGGCGUGCUGCGGGUUCCGGCCGUUAAACCACCUUCAUAACCCAAGGUUGACCUCGGAUCAGGUAGGAAGACCCGCUGAACUUAAGCAUAUCAAUAAGCGGAGGA
rnacentral:misc_RNA from 1 species